rnacentral:tRNA from 1 species
GGAGGGUGUAGCUCAGUAGGCAGAGCACGAGGUUGUGGCCCUCGGGGUCGCGGGUUCAAGUCCCGUCAUCCUCCCUCU